rnacentral:lncRNA from 1 species
AAGCAAAGCCCUGAGUCCUGGGGUGUUCAGAGUGUUCUUGGAAGGAGACCUGGGGAACUGGUACAAGAUUCUGAGCACGUGGGAAAACUAUAGCUAUGGACAACCAGCAAAGGAAACUUCUGAGUGAGUGUAUGUCAGAAACAGAAAAGAUGACUGAGUCCAUCCUCGUGCCGUUUGUCUGAAGCUGGGCAGAUAGAUAAAUGAGGCUGCUCUAGAGAUGUGGAGUUGUGGUGAGCCAGUUAAAUCUCUGCUUACUGGAUUAAAAAAAAAAAAAAAAGUGGUAUUUUUAACUGCUUACUGAGCAUAGCAAGAGUAAGGGAAGCACAGACAUAACAGUGUUGCUGAGAUACCCACUUACUGGCUUUAGGCUAGUUACCUAUUUGCACUUCACAAUGCGCAAAGUUGUAAUAAAUUGAGUGAGAAGAAACAGUAGCGAUGUAAUUAAGAACAGAAAGCAAUUAACAGAUACGUGUUAAAUGCAGAAUAGAAGCCUAAUGACCAAGAAAAGAUCUGUGGUAUAAUCCGUAAGGAGAUGACUAAAUGCAUGAAGGAGGAACUCUGACUCGAGAUUAUCUGCAGUGGAUUUUGAUCAAGAGGGAGCUAAAGGUGGGGGUCAAGCAGAAAGCCUACAAGAAAAACAUUUCAACCACCAGCGUGCUUACCAAGAUGGUUGCAGAAGCCAAGACCUCUACACCAAAAAAGUGGUGAGUUCCUGAGGCUGCUUUACGGGAGCAGCAGUGGGGAGGGAGAAAGGUCCAGUUGACCCAGCCCGAGUGAGGGCUGGAGCCUGCCACAGGCAGGCACUGUCAUGGUCUCUGGGGCACUGGAUGCCCAGGCUCCUGUGAAGAAAGCUAUGUAAAAUAAUUAAUUGUUUUAAAGCCAUUUCCAGAAAUGAAGUGCGCUUACUGGCAAAUCAAGGCCAUUUAUGGAGAGCCAUUCACCAGCUGGUGCAACCUGCUGCUCAUUGACAGUUCUGCAGUGCCGCUGCUCUUAGUGAUCUCUUCAGAACCCAUCUGAGUGACAACUCCCUUGAGGAGAGCAGGGGCCAAUACUAUGCAGGGAGGCAGAUCAGAGAAGGGGCUCAGCAGGUACCACUCUACCCAGACAACACAACACUGACCUUGGGUAAUGAGUACAGAUCCUGCGGUUGCAUACUGUCACCAAUACAAGAACCAUCAGCUGCUCAAGGACCACUGGUACUGGAAAAGCUGUACCAGUAAUGCUACCAAAAAGUAUCUUAGAUUUCAAAGUACA